CCGACCUGGUUUUGACAUCAUGUAAGAGCAAUAUCUGGGAGGUGGGUGCUGCCUAAGUGUUGCGGCAGUGUUAUAAAGUUGAGUGCCAGCAAUGUAUUUGGAAGGUGAGCCCAGGGAAUACUGGUAAGAGAGUGGGGAAAGAAGAUUGAGAAGUAAAGGAAGACAAUAAAAAUGUACUUUUAAGCAUGUUGAUACUGUGGGCAACUGGGGCUCAAUCCCAGAUAAGAAACUUGGUGAGACACUGUAGGACAGGUUUCAGAGUCAUUCCCUCUGAGAGGUGAGGAGCCUGGAGAAGUUAUUCAUCAGCUCCCCAGGUAUCAUUGAUUUAUGGCUGUUUUCAGGGGCAUUAACUCUCUGACACUCCUUCCCUGCCCUGCUUUGUGCCUGGGCCUGUCCUCAAAGCCAGAUAAAAGCUCUCAGAGAGGUAGUUUUCUAGGCAAGUACCAACUUCUGCUUCAAUGGUCAUCCAUGCCUAUAUUUUAAAAAUGUGUUGGCUGGUAAAUUGUUUCCAUUUAAGAAAAUUUAAGAUGGGUUUAUAUCACUUUUAACCAAAUGAAUUCUUACUGACAUAUACAGCAGACAUAUUACUUACCUAUAUAUAAUAUAAAUAGUGAUAUAUGGUCACUACACAUCACUAUAAACUUAUUGUGGGAAAUAACAAGGUAAACAAGAUGCAAUGCCUAUGUUAACAGUAAUGAUUAACAUGAUUAAUACUAGUUACUGCUUAUUAAUAAUUCUUCUUUGAAUUUAGUGAUCACCUGCUAUAUAACAGACCCUAUGCUAAUAAUUUACAUGGUUCCCAAACCAGUUACAUUUAUUACGCCCCUAAUUUGAGCCAGAAUUUCUAAUUGGAUUGUUUUGUUUAAUCAUCAUAACCUGUGAGUUAGUUAUUGUUAUCCUUUUUCUGUUCUCUCUGCAAAGGAAACCAAAGCGUAUACAGAUUAAGAACUUGCAAGGUCACAAGUAAGUGGCAGAGCUGUGAUUCAAACCAUCACCACUAGAGAUGACAACUGAAGCGGAGAAAAAUUAAGCGGUUUGCUCAAGAUCACAUAACCAGAGAUUUUAAGUCAUAGGGAUGAAGUUGUGGGGUAUUGACUACUGGAGAAAUAUUGGUUACAGGUCAAUUGCUCCCAGAACUCUUACUGGUCAGAUACUCUGUAUUUUCUAUGCUUUAAUGGGGGAAGGCAGGGUCACCGCCAUUUUCAGGACUUUGGAAAUACCUUCAGAAUAUGGGAAUGGGAGAGGUAAUGUUUACUAAAUAUUUUUUGUUUUCUUACAUAUACUUGGGUUCACAACCUUACUUAAAAUAUGUACACAACACCUAAUAAAUUCUUGCUAAAUACAUAAUAAAAAGUAUAUAUAUAUGUAUAUGUGUAGGUAUAUCUGUGGCCUUCUCAAUAUAUAUUUGGUGUUCUGUUUAUUACUCCACUGUAUGUAUACCUCUCUGGUAUCCAAAACACAGGCUUAUAUGUAAAACAUACGUAACAACUGACUUACUGAAACUUCAUUACGCAAAUACAAAUUCUAUAUUAAAAUGGUAUGCGUCAAAAUAUUAUGUUAAAAUUCUUGCCUAUAUUUUUGGAACUCCUAGCUGAAUAAAAGGGUAUUCAGACCAAAAUAUUAUCUAUAGUGCUUUAUUUUUCUUCUACAGAAAAUAGGAAUAUUAUUUCAAAGAACACUUAUAGAAUAUUAUAGUAUAAAUGCAGUUUUGAGACAAUUUUAUUGAUUAUCUGAACCAUUUUAUGAGGUAUGAGCAAAUCUCACCUCUAGAUUUUCUAGGAGAAAGUUAUCAACUUGAAUUCACUUCUUCUGAUCCUAGGUGCUGAGCUUUGUUACUUCACAAUGCUCUGUUGACACUGCUAAGGGCAAGAAAUUAUUUAAGGUGAUAGAUUAUAGGCUGUUUCACUUUCUUUAGUGUAUGAUUUCUUACACUUUUGUAUAUGAUUAGGAGAGGCUGUUUGGAAAUCUUAAAGGAAAGUGUGUGUUUAGUUGGGGCAAAGUGAAGUAAAGAGAAAUGACAUGGACAGAUAGUCCACUCCGGAUAUUCCAGGUAUCCCACAAGGAGAUACACCGAGGGGACAAGGCCAGGCAAACGUUUGUGCUUGUUAGUUACCAUGAGGCUUUGUGUCCCUGUAUUCCUGUGAACCAGGCUGCACUUUGGCAACAAUCCCUUGCGCUUACAUUAUCCAAUGUGAGUGGCCAACCGAGACAGGACACUCCUUUCCCUUCCGCUCUGAGCUCAUACUCGCUGGCUUAAGCGUGAUAUUAAAAGAUCAGCUUGAUGUCCACACAGGCCCGGUCUAAGCAAGCUGCCCCAGGCCUUCUCAGGAAAGAGCAUUGCUGGGUCAAAGCGGACUCUGGCUGGUGUUACUUCCUCAAUCUAAGGAAGUAAAGUCCAGAGAAAUCAGCUCAUGGGAGAGCACAGGCAUACCUCAUUUUAUUGCAUGUUGCUUUAUAGUACUUCACAGAUAAUAGUGUUUUUUUUUUUUUACAAAUUGAAGGUUUGUGGCAACCCAUGGAGCAAGUCUCUUGGAAGCAUUUUUCCAACAGCAUGAGCUCACUAUUUCU